rnacentral:rRNA from 1 species
CCUACGGGAGGCAGCAGUGAGGAAUAUUGGUCAAUGGCCGGAAGGCUGAACCAGCCAUGCCGCGUGAAGGUCAGUGCCCUAUGGGCGUUAAACUUCUUUUGUGCGGGAGCAAUAAUGGUCACGUGUGGCCAGACGAGAGUACCGUACGAAUAAGCAUCGGCUAACUCCGUUCCAGCAGCCGCGGUAAUACGGGGGAUGCAAGCGUUAUCCGGAUUUAUUGGGUUUAAAGGGUGCGUAGGCUGUGAGGUAAGUCAGCGGUGAAAUGCCCCCGCUCAACGGGGUGAAGUGCCAUUGAUACUGCCUGGCUGGAAUGCGGAUGCCGUGGGAGGAAUGUGUGGUGUAGCGGUGAAAUGCAUAGAUAUCACACAGAACACCGAUUGCGAAGGCAUCUCACGAAGCCGCGAUUGACGCUGAUGCACGAAAGCGUGGGUAUCAAACAGGAUUAGAUACCCCUGUAGUC